UUUUUUUGAGACAUAGUCUUACUCUUUCACUGAGGCUGGAGUGCAGUGGCAUGAUCUUGGCUCACUGCAACCUCCACCUCCUGGGUUCAAGUGAUUCUUCUGCCUCAGCCUCCCAUGUAGCUGGGAUUACAGGUGCCCACCACCACGCCCAGCUAAUGUUUGUAUUUUUAGUAGAGACAGGGUUUUGCCAUGUUGGCCAGGCUGGUCUCAAACCCCUGACCUCAGGGGAUCUGCCCACCUCGCCUUCACAAAGUGCUAGGAUUACAGGCGUCAGCCAUUGUGCCCAGCCUCACAUGUCCACAGUUCUAAGGAAAGCACCUAGGCUGCAUUCACUGGAUGCCAAGGGCAGGUAAUGAAACUCAGGAUUGAUGUCAGCCCUUUGAGCUAAUAUAGAAGACGUUUGCAUACCCCAAAUGGUUAUUGAUAAGUUACCAUACAUACCAAGAGCAGGAUAUCAAAGAUAACCAUGUAUCAAAGAUCUCAUACACCGAGGCCUCUGGGCAAACACCUCUAAGAUGCUUCUCAAGGCUACUUCUUUAGAAAAGCUUUCAUGAUGCCCCUGUUCUCCAAGGUCGUCAUCCUUGGUGGUCACCGUACCUACAUGUAGGUCCAUCGGAAAGCUGCUGUUUGACACUUACUGACUUUAUGUCCCUCUCACUAGACUGUUAACUCCUUGAGGGUAGGAAAUCUGUUGAUGUUAUCCUUGGUACUUACCAUAAUGCUUGCACAAUUAGAAUAUUCACUGAAUGAAUAAGAUCUCCUUAGCCAAGGACUCACACUAAUACUACAUAGGUGCAUACAUACAUAUAUGUAUGUGUAUAUUUGUGUGUGUCUGUAUGUGUGUGUAUAUGUCUGUAUGUGUGUAUUAUAACACAUGCAUAUGUGUAUAUGUAUCUGCAUACACAAUACAUAUUUUAGAUGCAUGUAGCUUAUCAUUUUGGGAGGAAUAGGUUUAUUUCUCUAGGGCACUAUAAAGGUAGAGUGAUAGACUUAAGCUUGAGCUACAUUGAUCCAGGACAAUCCAUGGGAAGUGCUCUUCUGAGCACUGUAAAUCCCCAAUAGGACUGUUUUGUUAAGUUUCUUGUCUGUUGUUUAAGCUUUCUGAUUGCUUGGAUUAAGGACUAAUGAUACCUUAUGCCAAGGUAAAAAUGUUACUAAAAAAAAAAUUGUAAUUUUAAAACCUUUUGGAAUGUCUUGAGUUAUUCUUUCUCCAUCUAAAGCAGUCAUUGAGACUUGACAUCAGAGCAUGCCCUGUCUUCCCCCUUGCAUAUGGAAUCUAACCCAGCAUCUCAGGAAGAAGAAUGGAAGAUGAUUUUUUUAAAUGUCAAAAAAAAAAAAAAUUGAACUUCCUCCUGUGCUUUUCACGUCAGCUUCUGCUGCAGACCUUAGAUGCCUGCUUUCCAGUAUUCGAUAAGAGAAUGAUGUAUACAGCUGUAAACAACUUCAAAGAAGGACACACUUGAAAUGCCUUGUGUGCUGUAGUUGCUCGUUAUUUUGAGUUCAGUCCACUCUUAGGGCAGGCACAGAAAGACAGGACCUGUAAGUAAACUCGCUGGAUUCAUCAAAUCUCCACAGACCAUUUGAUGUCUUCGAAGAGCCCACUGGAUCCUGAUACCCCAGCCCCCUGCAGCCUUGAAGCGUGUUCACACUGGCUGUGGUUGGGUCUGGCCCUGCAAUGCAGGACAUCUGGACGUGAACACAGCCUCUUCCCAGAGAGAUGAGCUUGAAGAGAACGACAUUAUGGAUUCAGAGCAUGAGUUUCAGGAAAAAGCUUGAUUAGUAAUUUAUUUUAAAGAAAUAUUUACUUAAGAUUACUUAAAGAAAUAAAUGGCUUCAUUCUAAAAAACUCCUGUCUCCCUUAGGAUCUGUCUUCACACACACAAAUUUUCUUUCAGCAGGAGGGAGCAAAUGUACGUGGGUGAGGCAAAGAACUGAAAUAAUCCACCUUUGAUCAAAACUCCUUGUUAUAGUGUUCCCUGUGAAAACGAUUUCUAAUCAAUGAGCGCUGCCACAGCACGCUGAGGAGUAAUUACCUUACACGUGCUUCACUCUGAGCUGUGAUUAGAAACAAGAUGUGGGCUCAGAAGGGCAGACGACCAAUAUAAGGAGAAAAACCUCAGAUAGGAGCCAAAAUGUGCAGGCUGUGAGAUACUGAAUAAGCAUGGAGGUCUGCUCCAGGGAGUGAUGCCGACAUUCGUUCAUUCACUCGGUAAACAUUUCCUCACUGUGUUGGGCAUCAUUGGUGGUAUUAGCAGCCAUGUUAAGGUAACUUAUCACAUGCUACCCUUAUAUACAAAGAUAGGGCAACUGGCUGGCUCUCACUGAAGUAUGAGGUUGACUUCAGAGGUGCUCUGUACUGGAGGUGGGUUUGGGUUGCUAAGACUACACCUUCUGACCAGACUUCCCAGUGGUUUGGAGCCAAUUUCCAAGGGUAAACUGCUUGGUCCACAGUCUACCAGCCUGAGCAUUCAUUGUACCUGGGCUUCAUGAGACACUAGGGCCUGGAAAAGGGAAAGAAAGACUUGGAAUAAUUCUACCUAGAAGAAAAACUCGAGGGGGGACUAGGGUCAAGUGUGUGGCAGACUUAUUGAGAAGGUGAAGGCCAUCUGGUCUCUGUAGAGAAGCUAGAAGAGGCUUUUGGCCUGACAGUGCUUGCUGGGGCAUUUACUGUACCCACGAGAAAGAGUUUCCAAACUCUGAUGAAUGUUGGAUGCAGGUGUAAUGAACACUCUUGCCCACUGAGAAACAGACAUGCUUGUUGUGAUGGCCCUGUGCCUGUGGGGGUGUCUUCAUUUGUCAUUAAGACAGCAGAUACUGCCACAGCACCAUCACCACCUAGCCAUAGCACAGCCACCCUUGGCAGUUUCCUUCCCUUCUUGGAGAGGUGCCAGUCAUGUUUGUUGUUUCUUUUUUCUUUUGCUUUUUUUUUCUUUUUUUGAGACAGGGUCUCACUCUGUCACCCAGGCUGGGUGCUGCAGUCACAGCUCACUGCAGCUCAAGCUCCCUGGGCUCAAGUCAUCCUCCCAUGUCAGCCUCCCAAGCAGCUGAGACUACAGGUGCGCACCACCACGCCUGCCUAUUUUUUCUUUUGAAUUUUGUAGUAAUGGAGUUUCACCAUGUUGCUCAGACUGGUCUUGAACUGAGCUCAAGCAAUCUGCCCACCUUGGCCUUCCAAAGUGCUGGGAUUACAAGAGUGAGCCACCGUGCCCGGCCUGUUGUUUCCUUUUAACCCUUGUUUUCAGACAGCUGCAAGAAUGCCAGCAGAUCUACUCGCAUGACCUUAAAAACAUACUCAGCAUCUUUAGCCCACCUUGGCCACCCAAAGUGCUGGAUUACAGGCGUGAGUCACCUCGAAAACAUUCUUGUUAGGUGAUGUGCCCCAGAGGAAAGCUUGGACAUUCUGAAGUUUGACCUACCUGUUCUAAACUAUCAUUGGCUGCUUACUUAUUGUGCCAUGUUCCUAAGGCUCAGCCUGCAUUCCUACCCCUAGUAGGUAAUGAUCCAGUUUUUAAAAUUCUUACCCUCUACAAAAGGAUUGAGAGAAACUAGAAUGAGUGGCAGGCUUAUUAGAGCAGUUGUUCUCUGGAUAUGUUUACAAAUGGGAAUAGCUGCACACUCAGGAUCAUUGAAGACUCACCUAAACAUAACCUAGAAAAGAGACUGAACAAACUCUCAGAGCCGACUCAGCACUUAUGAUUCUGAAGAAGUGACAUGCAGGCACAGAAUAGUACCUUAUUAAACAUCUUUGUGUGAAAGGCCAGCUAACCAACUUGGAUGAGAUUAUUCUCCCCACCUUCAAGGGUGCUUAAGUUUUUAUUGGGUUACUUCUGCAAAGCUUCUACCCAUCAGUAAAUAUUAGCCACCUUGGAAACAGUACACAGAAUGACAGUCAUUCUCCCUCUGGUGUAAAAUUAGGCACUGGACAAGAGUGCAUUUACCUGCUUGCAGGCAGAAUUAAAACAGCCAGAAUGUGCUUUAAGUGUCUAAGGAAAAAUUUGGCCAAGGCUCUGGGCCAGUGCGUCUGUUGUUAUUUUAGAUUUAUUCAAUUAGAGUCACAAGCAAAGUAAAUUGAGCUGUGUGGUUGAUUUGAAUAUUACCUUGGAAGAGAGUGUAAAGAGAUUAACAAACCCUAAGGGAUGAGGGACGAGUGCCAAGCUCCUCCUCUGUCCCCACACACAGUCGGGCCAGGUUUCACAGAUUCAUUUAGGAAUGACGAAAAUGCAUGCAGAAGAGCAGAUGUGCCUUUUGUUCAGGGCCACGUAGCCAUUUUCCCGCUUCUCCAUCCUCUGAAACUUCCUCUGUGUGCAUGAACUGCUGCAGAAAUGAAGCUGGUGCAUGUGGAGGCUGUCAGAUUUAAGAAGGUGGCCUGCCCUGAGAACUGGGGGGGCUUGGGUCCAGUCAAAUCCUGCUUUUGUCUUGGCAAAUGUAUUGUCUGGCACAGCCGGCUGCAUUCAGUUGACGUGGUGCUUUGACAGAUUGGCAUGGGUGAAAUAUUAAAAUUAAUUGCACGGGCCUCAUAUGUUUCCAGAGGCUAUAGGAUAAAUAAGCCAUGCGUUUCAACAAAGAACCUUUUCAGCGUUACCAUUUUUAGUGCCAUGUGGCAAUUGGUUGUCUCACACUCCCUUCAAAGAGUGAGGCAUUUUUACAUGUUUUUUACUUAGUUUAACGGGGGUAGGGACUAGAAUGAUGCCAGGAAGCCAUCCUGUUUUUAGGACUGAAGGGGCAUUUUUCUGCGUAAGUCUCGUAUGGUUUGGUGGAGUGAGAUAAGCAUGAGUUUUCUUAGAAUAAGAAGCUAGAACUGACAUGACAGAGAGGGAGCAGCAGGGAGAUAAGAGAGGGAGCAGCAGGGAGAUACAGGGUAAAAAUGGUGAGAUUUGCUUGAGGUCACCGUGUGUCCUUAAUUAAGACUUUAAUGACAUUGUUACUCCCAUGGCCUCUCACUGUUUUCCGAGUAUAUCUAAUGCUGCCCUAAUAUCCAGGCUAUAAUAUUGCAGUGAGAAUUAGAUUAGAGAGAUUAUAUGCAGGCUGUAGUGGUUCUGACGAACCAGCUGUGGUGUGACCUUCGACAGGUCACUCAGCCUCUGUGAACCUGCUUCCCACCUGUGUGCAGUGAGGGCAGUGGGCUCACACAGUCUCAUGGUCCACUCCAGCAUUGCCGGUCUGUGGUCUAUGCGUCACGGCCUUGGAUUUCACGGCUCCUCUACUCUUGAAAAGAGGAGGGGUUUUUAAAAGAAUGCCUAGUAGGGUGUGGAUUAUGAAUCUGUUCACUAUAACUACAGUUGGACUUUGGUAUCCAUAGGGGAUUGGUUUCAGGACCCCCAGCAGAUACCAAAAUCCAGGGAUGCUCAAGUCCCUGAUAUAAAAUGGCAUAGUAUUUGCAUAUAACCUACACAAAUCCUCCUGUAUACUUUAAAUCAUCUCGGGAUUAUUUAUAAUACCUAAUACAAUGUAAAUUCUGUGUAAAUAGUUAUUAUGCUGUAUUGUUUAGGGAAUAAUGUCAGGAAAAAAGUCUGUACAUGUUUAGUAUGGACCAAACCAUCUUUUUCUUUUUUCAAAUAUUUUUGAUCCACAGUUGGUUGAAUCCAUGGAUAUGGAACCCAUGGAUAUGGAGGACCAACUAUAUUUUGUUUUUCCUAGCUCCUUGUAAAGAUGUUCAUCAGAGAAUAUCUAGUAAGGUGAGAUGAACCCCCUCCAUGUCCCCUUUGCUUAUUAUCAGCUGUGACAAGCUCCUAGUUGAAGGCAUAGGAGCAGGAGAAUGAAAACAAUGGCCCAAAUGUAUUUUUGGUUUUGUUUUUUGUUGUGUUCCUCACCAACGGUAAAGGUAGAAUUAAUUGUCUGCUAUUGCUUACUACUCGUUUGUCAGGGAGGGUCUUCACCUUCAUCCCAUCUCAAGUAGUGAGUCUGAUUCUAGGCCUAUCUGCCUUUACCUGCUUCCUUCCACCUUCCCGCCUCUCUUCCUGGGGGAACCAAUGUCUCCUUCAUCUCUGUCCCCUUAGUGUAGUUUGGCACAUACCAGAUAAUUAGAAUAUAUUUGUUGACUGCAUUGGUCCAAAGAUUAGGGCUGAGAAGGUGAGAAGGAAGACAUGGAACUAAAACUAGAAUUUAACAUGAUCAGCCAUGUCCUCAAAAUAAAAUGGAAACUAACAUGAGCUAGGAAAGGUAGAGCAUGUUCACUUUUACCAACCUGGGCCUGGAAGGCACAUUUCCUGCCUAAAUAUUGAUUAGAGUUAUCUAAAAAGUUUUGGCAACUGAUUGAUCACUUAUGAUUUCUGUAUCAAAAUGGAAGAUAGAUGACUUAUUCUGUCAAACUCACCCAAAUCACUGCCUUCUUCAUUCAGAGGUAAGAGAAGCUUGUGUUUUAUAUGUCAAGCACCACACCUUGAAAUCAACAGAGCAAAACAGGUUCAAAAUAAAACGUGGUGAUGGGGAAAGGACUAACAAAGACAGGUUAAAUGCAAACACAUGCUUUAACUUGCACAGAAUCAUCAGUGCAUGAUACCACACACCCAGUGACCCAAACCGCUUUCUAAAUCCUCCUCCUUUUUUCAUCUCCUGUAAUUAGCACGUAACCCAAUGGUUAAGGGUAUGGAAUCUGGAGCCACAUCACCGUGGUUUGAAUCACAGCUCUGUAUUCACUCACCAUUAUUUUCAUUUCUCUGUCCUUCACUUUCCUGAUCUGUAGAAUGGACGUAAUAAUAUUUUCUACUGCAUUCAGGUUCUUUUGAGAAUUAAAUAAAUUAAUAUACAUGAAGUGCCAGGCACACUGCCUUCUGGACUCAAUGACAGUUAAGUUUCUCACUGUAAAUAAAUAUACUUUUGUUUGGUUUGUACAUAGUCCACAAGACCUAAGAUAAUUCCAGAGAAUUUCCCUUCAGUGAAGUCACCUACUCCAAACGGGAGUACAUUCCUCAAGUUAAACACAGUAGCCUCAUGUCCUUUAGCAGCCAGCCGGCCUCCUUUGCCCAUUUGCCAACAUCAGCACCUUUUCAAACUUCAGAAACAGGGCUGGCGUCUUACGUGGAGCCCUCAGUCUCUGCUGUCACUUACUGGCAAGAAUACAGGGACCCCCAGAUCUCCAUGUCGUCUGUGACCCCAUCAAUUCCCCUUGGUCAGCUUGUUUCUCUCCCUACCUGGGGUGCUGCAUGUCAGGGUUCUCCGCAUCCUGAGUGGGACCCAAAGGGGGCCUCCCUCUCCCUGCACUGGGGAUCCAUUCCCUGUAGGGUGAAGGGAGGAAACCAGGGUGUUUGGACUCAGGGUCUCUAGGUGAGGGUCCUUCCUGGGUUCCUAUUUCAUGAGCCUCAGAGCUCCUUCACUUCCUUUCUGAUGCUUUCUUUUUUUUCCCCUUUAUUCUCUCCUUUUUUCUUUCUCUCUUUCCAUCUACCCUUCAUAGGAUUCAAAUCCAAAGGCUAGAUUUUUGGGUUACCCAACUGUCUUUAUUUGAAGUAUUUAAUUCAAUUCCACUACUAUUUUUAUAGUAAUUUUUAAUUAUAUAAAAAUAUUACGUAUUAGCACAUUUGGUGCCCCUCUCCCCUCACUGGCAAACACCUUUUGUGGGAAGAAGGAUUUUGUCUCCAUUGUGCAUGCUCCAUCCCCAGGGCCCAGACAAUGCCUGGCACUUAGUAGGCGCUCAGUAAAUAGUUGUUGAAUGAAUAAAUACAGUAUAAAACAACAUUGUCCUGUAAUUUAUAAUGUCUGUGGGUCAAUAGUUAAGGUUGGGAUUUAGGAGCUCCUCAUUAUUCUGUUUUGACAGACUUACUACAAAAUGUCUUUUCAAAGUCACCAAAGCUCACCAUGCUGCAAUUUGUUAGAGGGUUAAUUUUUAAAAUUAUAAUGGCGCUUGGUAAAUCUCCUUGAAUUAAUGAGUCUUGCAGAAUUAUGGCUGAUGUGAAAAGGUAUAUAGUUAGCAUCUGUUUGUUCUGUGCAUAUAUCUCUCUUCCAUGCUGUACAUAUAUUUUAAGGAACAUUUCUUUGGGUGCUGUGUUUUUUUCUAUUUAUGUCUUCACCAUAAAAAUAUAAAUAGAUCAUUUAUCUCCGGUAUCCUUAAAGUAGCUUGCGUGACUUCACUCUUUUAAACUUUUACAUAACCAAAGUUUCUGUCCCCAGUACACAUUGUUUGGAAGAUUUGAGUGGUUGGGGGCAACCCUGGAACCCUGAGGCCAGCUUCUGGUGACCCUCGAGGUUUACAUGCAGGGCCAGGAGCUGAGGGUGCAGGCUGCUGGGGGCUUCAUUCCCAGGAACACCGUGAAGGAUACUGUGGUGUUCGCCCUACCUGGCACCAGACCAGAUAUUGUACUUAAUGCUUAAUAUACGAUAUCUCAUUUAAACUGAUGGCAACUCAAUAAAGUGAAUACUGCAGCUAUUACCAUUUUAUAGAUGAGAAUACCAAGGCUUAGAGAACUGAGUAACUUGUCCUCAGUCCACACAAGUAGGUAAGUGGCAAAGCUGGGAUUGAACCCCCAGUCCAUGUGAUUCUAGAGCCUGUACUCUUAUCCGCUAGGCUGUGUAGGAUAGACUGAUGGGGACCCACAGGCCAAGUUUGGCAGAUGUGGUCUAGGGUUGCUCAUGAGUUGAGAGCAGUAAUUGUUGGUGAGUGAGGCCUAAAAAUAUCCUUCUCAUUGCCUUUUUGAUAAAAAGACCCCAGACUUUUUCUGAGAAGGGGCUUCUUAGAUUUCCUACAGGUACUUUGAUCAUUGGGAAAGGUUCAGGUGACAAUCGUAUUAUAGGGCAAGCAAGGGAAAGGGCCCCACUGCCGGACCCAUUUUCUUUCCUGUUAGGAAACCUUUCUAACUAAGGUCAGAGGACCAAGCCUGGGGUUUUAAAAGAAUUCACGGAGCAAAAGUGCAGGGGCAUUCAGGAGGGGGACAUGGAAUGUGGCACGGUACCAGCAGUAGGCCGAGAGAUGUCACCUGAAUCUUCAAGGUCUAAUGGUAGUUAUCCUGGUACCGAUGUCAAAGUGGGCCACAUUUCUUUUUUUUUUUUUUUGAGACAGAGUCUCAAAAGCACCCAAAGAAAUGUUCCUUAAAAUAUAUAUACAGCAUGGAAGAGAGAUAUAUGCACAGAACAAACAGAUGCUAACUAUAUACCUUUUCACAUCAGCCAUAAUUCUGCAAGACUCAUUAAUUCAAGGAGAUUUACCAAGCACCAUUAUAAUUUUAAAAAUUAACCCUCUAACAAAUUGCGGCAUGGUGUGCUUUGGUGACUUUGAAAAGACAUUUUGUAGUAACUCUGUCUGGAGUGCAGUGGUGCGAUCUCAGCUCACUGCAAGCUCCCCCUCCCGGAUUCACGCCAUUCUCCUGCCUCAGCCUCCCAAGUAGCUGGGACUACAGGCACCCGCCACCACGCCCGGCCAAUUUUUGUAUUUUUAGUAGAUGGGGUUUCACCGUGUUAGCCAGGAUGGUCUCGAUCUCCUGACCUCAUGAUCCACCUGCCUCAGCCUCCCAAAGUGCUGGGAUUACAGGCAUGAGCCACCCUGCCUGGCCAAAGUGGGACACAUUUCCAAUAAACAAUUCCUACUGGAAGAGGCCCCACGUUUCCCUGGAGAGGGAGUGUGCUCCAAUGGGAAGGGUUGGACUUUAGGAUCAGGCUGACCUGAUCCUGAGUUCACUUUCUGAUUCUGACUGGUUUUGCGAGCUUCCACCAAUUAUUCACCCUCUCGUGGUACCUCAGCUACUGUACCAGUAAGAUGUAGGGUUAAUAGACUUUUGAUUAAAGAUGGCAGAUUGAACAUAAGCUUUAACCUCAGUUGCCUCUCAAUACAGCUAUAGUAAAGGGUUUGGUUUUUUCCCUCUCAGGUAUAAAGUAAUUAGAGACUAAGUGACGGGGAGAGGAGACAUCAGCAACAUAAUUUUGGAAGCUGAAAAGCAGAUGGAGAAGUGGAGCAGUUAGGUUUCAGUAGACCCAAGAAAGCUGAAAUCCAAGUUGGCAGGGGGACAAUCAAGAAGCAAUCCAGCUUGAACUACAAAGCCCCCAAAAGAUUCAGGAGUUAGUAGUACAAGCUUCCUCUUGAAGUAGGGCUAACACAGGACUGUCGAUUGAAAAUGUGUUUGAGGAGCAGAACCCUCGAUUUUCUCCUCACUGACGUGUAGCAAAAGGACCACUCUGCCAAUCACCAACAGGCCUUCAUCUUGGUAGAAGUCUGGAGAUUUAUUCUCUGGAGAUGAUAAAAGCAAGGUGUUUCCACCAAAACGAGAAGUAAGCUAAGACAAGAUCCACGAAGUAAGAGUUGCAACAAAAAAAGCAAGGCAAGAACCAUCCCAAAGCCUCAGCUGCACGGUCAUCAUCAGAGGGGGAUCUGUUCAGACUGGAGCAGAGCUGAAGGCUUCAGGGACACUUCAAGAGGAUUAAGUAAUUGCAAACCUAAUAACAACCAUUGCCUCUUCUAUUUAUUGACUGUUCAUUGUGUGUCAGACACAGUUCUAAGCAUGUGUGUAUUAACGAUUAAAUCCUGAUAGUAGCCCUAUUAGAUGGUAGUCAUUAUCCUCCUUUUAUCAGUGAGGGAAUUGAGGCACUCAGUGCUUAAUCAUUAGUCUAAAAUGGCAUAGCUGGUUAGUGGCAAAACUGAGAUUUGAACCCAGGCUGUCCACACUCAUAGCCAGCAUACCACGCCUCACCCCCUUGACAACAGGAGAAACCAAGGUGAUGACAAGUUAACACAGCUGGGAAAGCUGGGGGAAACAGGACGUUGCACAGAAAAGAAGUCAUCUUAGUUUACUGUGGAGCUCAGUAGUGACCUGAACAGGUAACAGUGUGAAAGGGGAUCUGACAGGAGUCUCCGCAUGCCCACAUCAGGAAGAUCCGGGAGGGGCACAGGCAUGGGCAGGAGGUGUGAGGCAUGAAGGAGCUAAGUGCUUCUCUUCGGUGAUACAGAGGCAAUGCCUAAAACAAAUAACAAACCAGAAGUAGCAAGAAAAAUAGCUUGUUUAAAGCUACAGAGAGACCCACCAAAGGAACCAACUAGAAGAGUUGAAAACAGGUCUCCUGUAGGCCGUCUGGGCAGACUGUGGCAGGAUAGGGGAUGGGGGCUGCUGUCUUUCAGGAAAAGUCCUGAGAAUUAUUUGACCCUUUGAAUCUGUGCAAGUAGAACUUUGAUAAAAAUAAAAGCUAAACUUUAGAAGGGAAUAAAUACCUGGUAGUACUGUCAUGAAAUAAAUCUGUUUUAUCUUCCUAGGAACUCGGUAAAUGUUAGUUUUCCUCUUUCCUUUUUCUUUCAAAGGACAAGUUCCCGUCCCAGGCAGAAAUGAAAGCCCGGCGCGGCGCGGCCGCUGAUGGCUCACCUCUCUCAGAAUGGCCCGGCUGCCCUUCAGGCCUUCAUUUCUCGCUUGCCAACUUCCAGGGAAGGACAGAAAAGCAGGGGAUUCUGUUGACAGAGACCUUUGAUGAGCGCUUGUUACCGUCCGUGGCCUUGUGGGGUGCCUGGAUGGAGGCCCAGCAAAUGGCCAGAUGUGGGGCAUAGCUAAUGUGGGUAGAGCACCUCCCGCGGCUGUGGGAAGGGACAGUGACAGUGUCUGACUGCUCCCGAGGCGCUAGCAAAGGUGCCCUCCUGGCUGCAGGUAAUGGGGGAGCUGCCCCAGACAGUCUGUAAGGCAGUGAUCGCGUCCAGGAUCCUAAGAGUUUCCUUUUAGCCACCUCCAACUAGGGCAAGAGGCCAGUAUCUUGAAAGGCAGAGUUUGGGGCUUGUGUGUAUGCAGGAGAGAGAGACAAAGUGUGUGUAUUUAUAAAGCAUGCCAUACGCCGUUUGUUCAGUGCAAUAUGCCACUUUAUUUUUAUCUCUUCUUACUUCAAAGAUAGGGAAAGCCUAUUAAUUAGUAAAUCUAAUCAUAAAUAUAUGCAUAUAUAUCUACAUUAAUCUCAAGUGUUUAUAUAUUGAUAAAUUGAUUUAAGAACGCUUUUCAUUUCUGGCAGAACCUUAGACAUUAAUGAACCCGAAUUCUCUUACUGAAGUAUCCUCUUAUUAUUUUAUAGCAGUUCUUCCUACUACAGGGUAAUUAUGAACCUGAUUUUAACAAAAAAGUACACUGAUCUGCUAUAAUCUGCUCAGUAAUACAAGUGAGCUUGUCUAUGCAAACCCUAUUGCUCCAAAAAGAAUUGAAGAAAAAAUGUUUUACCAAUUCAGACCCACAAGUAUUUAUUGUGCACCUACUACAUGGAAGGCGUUGGACCAGCUGCAGUGGGUAUAAUGAUGAGUAAAGCAGGCUCAGCCCUUAGCUUUUUGCAUUUUAUUCUGAAAAGGAAAAUCCUAAGAACUAACUGACCACAAUACAAGUCUGACAAGACUGGUGUGUGAGAGGAACAAGCAGGCCCCUCCUGGGGGAUCGGAGGGGAAGACAUCUCAUUUCAGGGAUCAGGAAGAGAUAGACAUGAGUUGAGGGAUUUGCACUAUUGGAAUUAUAAAAUAACACAUCCCCAACCUUCAUUCAUUGAUUCAUUUACCCAUUCAACAAUUGUGAGUGCCUGUUACGUGUCGGAUGCUCCUCUGGACCCUGGGGCUGCACCAAAGCAAAGCUCACCUUCAUGGAGUGCAGGGAAGAGAAUAGUGGAGAAGGGCAGGCUGCAUCUUCGUGGAGUGCAGGGAAGAGGAUAGUGGAGAAGGGCAGGCUGCAUUUCCCUGCUCUGACUCUACCCUGGUUUCUGUGAACACUCAGAAGUUUCCUACGUAAUGCUGGGCAGUCCUUGGCAGUCUUGGAGUUUGGCUGGCAUGGGUGCUGUGUGUAAGUAUAGUAUCAGUGGCACCCUGGGUUCUCUGACAGCAUCAGGACAUCACUAGUAGAGUCAGCAGUGUUUCUCAGAAGCUUCUGCCCUGACCCUUUGACCGUGGAAUCCCAGUCACAUUAGGGCCCUACGUCCACAGAGGAGCAGCAGGAGCAGAGACCUUCUGUGGAAACCACGGCUGCCCCAUCCCAGCCAGGUCAUAGGUCAGUGUGGUCUGCUUUAAUGGGACAUAACAUCCUUUCUGGACCACCCUACUUGCCACAUCCAUGGGUUUCCUCCUGGCAGACUGUGGGGUCGGAUGCCUCUUCUCCAAUUAUCUCUGUUACAGUAUUCACUGAUAACCAUCUUAGAGGGAUUAAAUCAGAACUUACAAAUGUUUUCCUGCAGUUGAUGUUUAAAAUAUUUAUUCCAAAAAAAAAAAAGAUGUUCUCAGCCUGAUACAUCCUUUGUGGAUAAUAACUUGGACUGCAUUAAUUGCCUCUGGGGUUAGGAUACUGCCCUCUCCCUUAGGUUUAACUGAAUGUUCAACAAGGAUGAGUGUAACACCGAAAAGCAUUAAGACUCGAAGACCUGCUACUCUUCAAGGGUGGAUUCCAGGCCUUGCGAAGACUGUGUUAGGGGUAUUUACAUACUACCUGUGUAUGUCGGGAGCCCCAUACACCACUGCACCUGAGACCCCUCGGUGGGUGGUUUCAGUAUCUAUCCUGUCAGGAAGUGGUUCUCUUUUAAUUGCAGUUGACCCUUGAAGAAGUUUGAACUUCACCGGCCCACUUAGACGUGGAUUUUCUUCCGCCUCUGCCACCCCUAAGACAGCAAGACCAGCCUCUCCUCUUCCUCCUCCUCCUCCUUCUCAGCUUACUCAAUGUGAAGAUGACAAGGAUGAAGACCUUUAUGAUCAUCCAUUUCCACUUAGUUAAUAGUAAAUGUGUAUUUUCUGAUUUUCUUAGUAACAUUUUCUUUUCUCUAGCUUACUUGAUUGUAGCAGUAUAGUAUAUAAUACAUACGACAUACAAAAUAUGUGUUAACCAUUUGUGCUGUUGGCAAAGCUCCUGGUCAAAAGUAGGCUAUGAGUAGUUAAGUUUCAGGGGAGUCAAAGGUUACAUGUGAAUUUUUGACUGGGUGAGGGGUUGGUGUCCCCAUCUCCCAUGCUGUUCGAGGGUCCACCGUAUAUGCUUUUCUCUCCUUGAGAAAAAAUUUCUAGCCAAAUUUUGUCUUCCUUAAACUCUAUAGAGCUUGAGCUUCCAGCCUGUGGUCUGAGAAACCUCUCUUUCCUUGGUGUUUGAGCAGUAAUCCUUUUUAGCUUGAUUGAUUUUUUUUCAUUCCUUUUUGUGUCCAGGAUCCCACCUUUCACUGCACUGAGUAGCUGUACAAGUUUCCUAUCACUGCCCUAACAAAUUACCACAAACAUAGUGGCUUAAAACAACACACACUGAUCAUUUUACAGCUGCAGAACAGAUGCCUGAAAUCAGUUUCACUGGGCUGAAACGGACUUGUUGGCAGGGCUGGCACCUUCUGGAGGCUCUAGGGGAAAAUCCAUGGACUUGCCGUUUCCUGCAUCUAGUGGUCCUUGCAUCCUUUGGCUUGUGGCCCCUUCCUCACAUCUCCUCCUCUGACUCUGGCCCUCCUGCCUCCCUCUUAUGAGAAUUCCUGUGAUUAUGUUGUGUCCACCCAGACAAUACACAUCUCCCCAUUUCGUGAUUCUUAACUUAGGCAUCGUUGCACAGUCCUUUUUGCCACGUAAGGCAAUAUUUUCUCAGGUUCCAGGGAAUUGGAGGUAGGUGUCUUUGGAGGAUCAUUCUUUCACCUACCACAGGUGCUAACUAAACAUUUUUAAAACUCAGCUGGUUGUUUCCUUUCCCCGUCUCUGUCUCUGAGUAUUUAUGGACCAGGUUUUCAAAACACAUAACUCACUUCCCUGUUAUAAAGUAAUAAAUGUUAGAAAAUUUCUCUCAGUUCUUUAAAACAGUUGGAAAAUGAUUAAAUUGUCUUUGCAGUGAUUGUGGCUUAUUACUCUGAAAACUGGACUUGAACUCCAGGUGUGUUGGGUAUCAUCCUAGGGAACCACUAACACUCUAGAAAAACCAGUAUCGCCAUUUUUCUUGGAAACUCUCCUUUCAUCUCCAAGUACAAUGGAAGACAAGGAAGAGGAUGGUCCCUGUGUUGUUGCUGUUGCCAUCAUCUUUGUUGUUGUGGAUUCUUGCCUUCUUUAUCCCCAACUCCAGAAUUCCUAUCUGUGCCAACCUGUCACUGGCUUUGCUGUGGAAGCCUUGACCUCCUGUCACACACAUCAGCUGUAGCUGGCUCCAAUAUCUCAUCUGUCACACGUAACCUAGAAUUGGAAGGUAACCAAGAACUGGAAGUGUAACCAGGUAACCUAGAAUUGGAAGUGUUUGUAGAGGAGAGGAAAUAAGCUGAGUGAGUAAUGUGCUUGAGCUCCAGGGUCCACUUCACUUUUACUUACCUUCUGAUUCUUGCCACCCCCCAGAGCACCAGAGCAGUGACAUUAAACAAACUCUUGACUCUCAACCAUGUUUCUCCUUAACCUUGUUCUUUGUUUUUGGUCAGUAUGUAUGUAUUUAUUUAUUUUUGGAGACGGAGUCUCGCUCUGUCGCCCAAGCUGGAGUGCUAUGGUACAAUCUCAGCUCACUGCAACCUCCGCCUCCCGGGUUCAAGAGGUUCCCCUGCCUCAGCCUCCUGAGUAGCUGGGAGUACAGGCGCAUACUACCACACCCAGCUAAUUUUUGUUUUUAGUAGAGACAGGGUUUCACCAUGUUGGCCAGGCUGGUCUUGAACUCCUGACCUCAAGUGAUCCACCCUCCUCGGCCUCCCAAAGUGCUGGGAUUACGGGUGUGAGCCACUGUGUCCGGCCAACCUUGUUCUUUGACACAGGUGUUUUAAGCAUACAUGUGGUGUGUCCUAAUGAGAAUGAAAAUUGUGUGGGUGGCUAACCAUACCAUAUAUGUCUUAGUGGUCCAGUGAGUAUCACAUGAGUGGCUUUUGAUCUGUAUUUGACAGAUACUUUAAUAAUGUUAUACAGAUAUUUUACAGAUACUAAAAUAUUAUAUAUUUUACAUAUCCUUAUGUAAUGCAUAUAUGUAUAUACAUUGUGUAUAUAUACAUAUGUAUCACAAUAUGUGAAAAUAUAUAUAAAGGCCUUGUGAAUUCUUUUCAACUAUUAUCUCUUUAUCCCCUUUUUGUGGGAUGUGUAUUUAGAAAAAAUAAUAAUAGAAAGUACCCUUUAUUAUUGUUCAGCUUCCACCCCCCUCACAGUUCAGAAGACUGAUCCUUGUAUCUUUCAAGCUGGAAGCCUUUAUGUAAACGAGGGCCUGUGAGUUUAAAUUUCUCUGGACAAACCCAGAUGAAAGAUUGCUUGUUGAAAUGAAGGCAUCUCUUCCACUGUGCUGCACUGAUUAGAUUGACCGAUCAAGCUUAGAAUAGGAAAUGGCAUGGAAGAUCAGAUGCGGGAAAUCAUUGAAAUAUUUGCCCUCCUGUUACAGGAUCACUGAAGUCCACUUAUUAUGAGACCCAGAGGUUUCCCCUCUGAAGAUGCGGGAAGGCAGUGACUAUGAAACUGGUCCUGGAAGUCUGUUGUUCUGGCAUCCUUUGCCCUGGCUAAAUGAGGUUCUGGCUUCAGAGGGGUCUUGGUUUAUAAGUGCUCCAGGGAGAUGUAUAUGCAUUUAGCUACACGAAACCUGGGCUGCAUUAACGGUUCUUAAAAGCAGAGAAUAUGAAAGGGAGGACAGAGGCAUUUUCAAAAAUUGAUGUUCAAUUUUAUAACUCUCAGUUUCCGUAAAAAUUUCCGUUAUGGUCAGUAGUUUAUAAAGGAGCAGUUCUGAGUCAUUGUUAAGAGUGGAGGCUCGCAGGCAGAUUGCCUAGAUUCAAAUUUUGGUUCUACCCCUCACCAGCCAUGUUGGUUAGAAGGUUACUCAACUUCAAUUUCCUCUUCUGUGACAUGGGGAAUAGUCAUAAAAAUGCCUUCCUCAUAAUUGUUGUGAAGAUUAGAAAUAAGAUAACAUAUUAAAAGCACUUAGAUUGGGAGGCCGAGGUGGGCGGAUCACCUGAGGUGGGGAAUUCAAGACCAGUCUGACGAACAUGGAGGAACCCCUUCUCUACUAAAAGUACAAAGUUAGCUGGGCGUGGUGGUGCAUGUCUGUAAUCCCAGCUACUCAGGAGGCUGAGGCAGGAGAAUCGCUUGAACCCAGAAGGCGGAGUUUGCGGUGAGCCGAGAUUGUGCCAUUGCACUCCAGCCUGAGCAACAAGAGUGAAACUCUGUCUCAAAAAAAAAAGAAAAAAAAAAAAAGAGAACUUAGAACAGUGCCUGGCACAAAAUAAUUGCUCAAUAUACAUUGGUGGUUGUUAGUAUUAUUAAGUUAUUGUUAUUGCUUAGCAGAGAUUGGAAGCAUUAACACAUAAUCUUUCAAAUACUUUUUAUCUCCAGUAACUAAACUCCAAAAACAUAUGGGUACUUCAAGGGGGUGACCACUGAGCUAUUCAAAUGUACCCUUCUAUUCCCAAGAGUACACCAGUGUGCACUCUAAUAUACACAAGUAUACCCUAACUACAUAAACUACAUUACAUGUCUACUCAUACAUUGCCUCUUUAAGAAAUGUAUAUGGCACAGCAUUUUAUUGUCAUAGCCAUGAUGGCAUUUAUGUUUUAUAAACUGGAGGGAAGUUAUAAGAAUUUUUCAUCAAAGAACUAAUCUUUUCUAGAAUUAGAUAGAUGGUUAGCAAAAUGUAUGACUGGAUUUCUGUCAUAGAAAUUUUCAAGGAGUUGAAUUCUAGGAGAAAUUAAGCAUCUUCCCCCCACCCCAAUAACACAAGUUAUUGGAUAAUUUUAAAUUUGUGUCAAAUAGCUUAAUAUCCUUUCCACAGACCCUGAAAAUACAAACAUUUGAUAUAUGCUCAUAUCCAAUUUCAAGUUCUGCUUAUAUUUUAUUUGAAUUACUGCCUCCUUAGCUGCCAGGCGCCCCAACACGAAUGUUGGCCCCUGCGUUUUACAAUUGUUCCUGAUAGUGCUUUGUUAUGUAUUGGGAGACUUUGAUGCCCAGUGCCCGCAUUGGACUACAGUUGUUCCUUUACCAUUCUUAGCAGUACCUCAUAUGACUUGCGGUAUGGAAGGCUUUUCAAAGUCAUAUGUGUCCCACUGGGAUUAGUGCAACUGCUUAAGCCCUGGCUGUCCCCAUCUUUUCUCUGCUUGUUCACAUGGUGAAUUAUGGAUUCAUCAAAUGUUAGAGCUGGGAAAAAUAUCUUGGAGAUCAUCUAGUGCUAUUGUCUCAUUUUCAGUCCAGAGAAACAACGCUUUUCCAGCCAAGUCUAACCCCAGUCGUUAGUGCAAGGGCUUAGUCUAGACUUUGAUUCGUUCUGUAACUACAUUAAGGGGGAUGAGAAGAGAGCUCACGUUCACUCUGCACAAGGACAAAUAAAAAAGGCCCUGCCAUCCCUUGAGGAACUCACAGUACAGCGAGGUGACAGUCCAGUGAGCAGAUAAUUAUCUUUAAUUCUUAGCCCAUUGCUUGCUCCCCUGUACUGGUAUGCCUUUGGUAUAUACUGUUUCAGCUUCUUAUCCAUCCACAUGGUUGUAAAGUGGGGAGCUUUUGUUUUUGAUGCCUGUCUCUCCAUGUAUCCAUUCAUUUAUUUUUCUAUCUAUAAGUCAUUCGUCAAAAACCACUUAGGAAUGCCUGAGCUAUGCUGCACACCAGAGUCACUUAAAUGCUACAUACCAGUGGAGAAAAAUCAUGGUUCUUGCCUUCCAGUAAUUUAUAGUCUAGUUGAAGGAUACAAGCAUAUAAAGAACAAGGUACAAACAUGUGUUAAAGGAACUGUAAUAUAAACAUGACAAGGUACAUGGCAGACACAAUUUCAUCCUGCCUAAAUCCUCCUGAGUUGUUCACAGGUAUUUCACGUGUUAGUUAUUCGAAGGAACUUUACAAUGCACCUCCUUCUUUGGGGCAUUUACAUUUUAAAGUAGGUUGGGAAACCCGCUUUACUACUUUCCUCUCCCUUCCCUCUUUUACUUUCUUUCUUAAGUUCGAGACUGUGUCCCACCUGUGUUAUUGCUUAGAGGAGGUGGGCCUAGCCUUGUGCUCCAUGAUGGAGUUCAAAGAGAAUGCCAUCCACCAAUCUUGCACUCUCUGGCUCACAAUCUGCUUGUCCCCUUUGUUGAUUAGUUCUUUCUUUCAUUCAUGCAUUUGUUUAUUCAUAUGAAUGUCCACUGUUUACUAAGCCAGUAGUCACUGUGGAAAGCAAAGGCAGACAUGGCUGAUGUUCUCAAAGAGCAAUAGUCUAGACUAGAGGGGAAAUUAACUUUCAUGGAAUAAUCACACAUGUAGAUGUGAGUGACAGCUGAAAUAAGCAUCUGCAACUUGAUGCUUUAAGAGCAGUGAGCAGGCUGGGCGCCAUGGCUCACAGGCCCGUAAUUCCAAUACUUUGGGAGACUGAGAUUGGAGGAUAGCUUGGGCCCAGGAAUUUGAGACCAGCCUGGGCAAUAUAGUGAGACCCCCAUCUCUACAAAAAAUUAAAAAGUUGGCUGGGCAUGAUUGGUGCAUGCCUUUAGUCCCAGCUACUUGGGAGGCUGAGGUUGGGAGGAUCCCCUGAGCCCAGGAGGUCAAGGACUGCAGUGAGGCAUAAUCACACCACUGCACUCUGGCCCAGACAACAGAGUGAGACCCUGUCUCAGAAAAAAAAAAAAAAAAAAAAAGUAACAGUGAGCAGUGGAGUCAAGGUUGAGUGUGAGGCCAGGGAGAGAAGAGCAUUAUUCAAAGCCAAGGAGUUGCCUAAGCAAAGCUCCCUGGCAGGAAAAGAAAUCUAUGGAUCAGAGCUCUGGAAAGAAGGCCAGUGUGGCUGGAAACGUGGGGGACAUGGUUUUGAGGCUGAAACGGGGCAGAGGCCAGACCACACUGGGCCUCUUUGACCAUGUAGGGAUCUCUCACUUUACCAAGAGCAAUAGGAAGCCCCUGGAAUGUUUUAAGCAAGGAAUGUCACACGAUCAGAUUUGGUUUUCAAAAACAUGACUCUGGCUGCUUUGUGGAGGGGGACUGAAAGGGAAGAGUGUGGCUGCAGAACCAGCGGGAGGCUACAGCACAGCUACACAAGCAACAAGUUGUUCCAACUGAGGUUGUGGCGAGGGGAUAGAGAUAAGUCAGCAGAUCCCAAAAUAAAUAAAACCCAAAAUUUCUACAACUUGAUACUUGGUUGAACACGAGGGAAGAGGGAUGAUGCUGAUUAUGGAACCAGAUGGAUGAUGCUGCCAUUGUUGUUAAGGACACAACUGGUUGAGAUUUAGGUUUGAACACGUUUGCCUUGAGGUUUACUGGAGGCACUGAAGUAAACGUGUUGCACAGAUAGUUUGAAACAGUCUGGAGCUUACAGGAAACACAGAAACUGGCAUAUAAAUGUGUGAGUGAUCUUCAUUGAGAAUGUAUUUGAAACUGAAGUAUGGAGAAGGUGGACUAGGAAGCAUGGAGUGGGAAGAGCAAGGGGCUUUGCAUGAAUCUUAUGGAACUAGGGCCCUUAGUGGCCAGAUAGAGGAGAGCAAAUCUGCCUGGAACGUGGGGGAGCCAGGAGUGAGGAAGAGCCAGGGUGUGUGAGUGCUGGAAGCCAGGGUAGUAGGUUUCAAGAUGGCGGAAGUAGCCAACAUCACUGAAGAGCCAAUGACAUGAUCAACAAAAAGCCAUUGCAUUUAGCAAUAGGGGUCACUGGUGACUGUGGGGAGAAAUGAUCACUCAGGGGGCCAGAAGCAAGAUUAGAGUGGGUUGAAAAUGAAGUGGGAGGAGAAGAAAUGGAGACAGUAAGUAGACAACUGAAGAAAAGAAGAGAGACAAGGCCGUGCUUGGAAAGGUUGUGUGCAGUAAGAGAAGUUUUGUAAAAGUAUAAUAAACUUCAGAGUGUGUAAAAGUCAGGAGAAGGAUCCAGUAGAGUAGGAGAGGUAACUAUAUAAGAGAGAGAGACAGAGGAGAGAUGUUACAGUGUUCCUCAGAAGGUAAGACAUCAUGGGACCCCACACUUGGAAGAGGGUGAGCAGGGUUGACCUUAGCCUGGACAAAAGGGUAUUUUACAUUGAAUGAAAAAGAAAAGGAAAAAUAUUUUCUCUUGUUUUGCUUAGAUUUCAUCUUGGGCUUAUAUUUGACAUGGAACUAGGCCACUGUAAUUUUCAUGGACUUUUUACCAUGGGUUUUCCACCUAACGUAUUUUUAAAUUCAGAAAGUUGGGGUAUUUUCAUUCUUUUUUUCUUUGUCAGCUCUUUUAUUACAAACUAUUCUAUACAUUUGUUAUAUUUUCCCAUCCUUGCAGUGCAUUGCAGACAAUAUUAUUAUUACAGUUCUACAUGCAUGUUAUUACUUUAGUUUUGCAGGGACUUCCCCAUGAAUAGCAGAAUGUAAUUUAUGAAAUCCGACCAUCAUUCUCAAGGCACCUCUGUGCUAUAUGUUAAACUCACUAAAACAGCAAUGUGGAAAUAGUCACCCACACUGCUGGCUUCCAGAGCAUCAGUCACGUUGCCGCUUGCAUUUGGAAGGAGCCUCCCCUGAUCCUUCUCUGGAUGAGGCCCUGGAGGGAGGCAUUACCUACCCAGGCCACUCCUCUUGCUGGCUUCACCGUUUGAACUAACUCAGGGACGGGUGUCUCUAGAUCCAUCCAAAUGUGUAUAAAGAGAUGAACUUCUACUUUCAGUUAAUUAUCAAAACUAUAAUUAUCUUAGAAAGUUAUGCAAAUUAGUCAAUUUUUAGGCCCUUCAUCGAGAAGCUAGCAAAGUAGAAUUGGUGUGUGCGGUGGUCAAGAGGUAAGAUUCUCAGAUCAGAUCCCCAGGUUUGAACGCUGGUCCUGCUACUUGCUGGCCGUGUGUGACCAUGGCAGGUUACAAUUUCUUUGUGCCCCAGUUUACUUCACUAUAAAGCAGACAUAAUACUCCCAAGCUCAUGUGAUCAUUGUAAGGAUUAAAUUAGUUUGCAAAAAGCUCUUGGAACAAUGCCUGAUGCAUAGUAAGUACUUAAUAAAUUCUGUGAUAGCAUCUUGGAUGCAGUGAUGGUGCUUCGGAAGCCUGUUAUCUUCUGCUGCCUCCACGUGUUGCAGUUUCAUUUGGGAAACACUUAUUGUUUUAGUCACAUACAACUCUAAAAGGAGGUGAUUCUAUGUCCAGUUUUUCACAAUGUCUAAAAUAAUAUGGUUCACAGUAAUAAGAUUUUAUAGCAGGUGAAUGUUUACAUUCUCAUUUCCCAGAUAUAUAAUAAUCAGUAGCCACUCCCUUUGCAUUAAAAACAAGCCCCCCUGGCUACUGAAUGGCUCUUCGAUGUAUGGAGUAUCUUAGCCAGCUUGGCACGAAUAAAACCUCUUUCCUUUUCAGCUGUUUUAAACAUUUAGCAGUCAGAUCAGAUGAUUGAACUUUCAAAAAAAUUCUUCCCAAAAUCUGUUUGGAUAGAAUCAUUUGCCGUAAAGAUGCGGCAUUAUUCAAAGCUGCUCUGUGCUCCCUUAAUUGAAAAGCCCUGACAUUGACAUUGGACGGGGCUUGCCUUUGGGGCCACCAGCAGACAGCUUUCUUCAGUGCCUCGUAUUGUUAAUGACUCAGAGAAUGUGUUUUGAUGAGAUCAGAAGCAAUCCACUAAAGAAAAAGUGGAGAGGACUUGAGAGCUUAAAAGAGCGGAGAGGAGAGAUGUGAGAAAACCUAAAAAAAGACAAAAGUUGGUGUGGAAGAAGGGGUGGCGCGGGCUCCAUGGCAGAUUUGUCAUUCGUCCCAGUCCAGCUAUUUAGAAUCAUUUUUCCAGUGGGAAGAGAGAUGAAGAGAAAUCCUGUCCAAAAGAACAAGGAAGAUGUCUUUGAAAUGAUAUGAGGGGAGCCAGAGACAGACAUGGAGGUGAGCAGGACCAGGUCUUGCUCCUUAGAUCUCCAGGGAAGAUGUACUCAGCACUACUGUGCGCUCCUGGGCUGCACUGGUGUCUUUACUGCAGGCAGAAAGGAUGGAUGCACGCUGGCCAGGGCCAUGGACUGCAGGUGCUUAAAUGGCCCCACAGUAGAUGGCUGUGUUCACAGCUCAGAUCUGUGGCCCCCCUGGCCUCCUCAGCCCCUCUGAACAGUAUCCCACUGUUAGCAGCUCUGCAGUGAAAGUGCAAUCUGAACACAAAUUAAGUGGCAGCUUUGGGGUUUUAAAGAAAAAGGAAAACUUUUUCAUUUUAGAAACAGAAAGCUUAAUGUCUCCUGUGUCAGUUCAUUCUAUGCUCCCUGAAAUGGUUUCAUCUCUAUGCUAAUUUUACGCUGAAAAUAGGAACUCCCCUGUGCUGGAGAGGAGAGAAAGGGCUGGGAAGUCAAAGACUAUCCAAGUGGCUGAGAAUCAAGUGGACCCCCUUGACUCAUUUCCACUUAGAAAAUGCUUUCAAGGCAGCCAGUGUUACACCGAGGGUCCUGCCAGGGGAGCCGAGGCCUUUGCCUGUCACCCUGGGAUCUGGCUUCCAGGCCUUGGGCGUGGAUCCCUCGCCCAGAGUCUGCUUGGUCUUGCACCAAUGAUUUCGCAGGUUAUAUCCAGACCUCAUGCUUGAUAAUAAGGUAGUAAGCUGACUUCCCUUGGUUUCCUCCACUUCUGUUUUAAAUGAAUAAUUAAUCCAUUAAAAGCAUCAUCUCAAGAGCACAAAGUAUCCUAUAAUCUAUGACUAUAAGUUCUUUGAAUAAGAAGUGGACAUUGUGUUAUGCUUACUUCUAGACUGGUCUGUCUCUCUUAGUAGGACAUGAGAUGUUGAGGAUGGAUCUCAUCCUGGUCCUAGUCCUUAAGAGCACCCACAUGGACGCUUCCUCAGCGUAGGCAUAUAACUUUGAUCUCUGAAGAUUCCUAUGGGUCUAUCAUUCAGUAGCUCUAGGGCAGCUGGACAGAGAAGAGAUUAGAAGUCUUGUUCCUGCUCCUUAACUUGUUCACAAAGAUACUUUAUUUUUAUUAUUUUGGUCCUGCCAGUUCUCUUCAUCUGGUUUCCUGUAUCCUUCCAUAUACAGUGAUGCUGAGGCAUUUUUUCGUUUGUUUGUUUGAUUUGUUGUUUUAAAGAGAAAAGGGAGUAUACUUGUUGCUUCAGGGCAAAACAAAGACCAGUGGGAAGAAAGUUAUCAAAGGUUGAUUUCAGCUCCUCACGAAGAGCUUUCUAAGGACAGGCUGUUUGUGAAGGGACUAACUGUGUUUAAGUAGAGCUGGGCGGUCACAUGAGACCAUUGUCCUGAGGAAGCUCACCCAAAAACCCCGAUGGCCAGGAUGUUGACUGAUGGCUCACCCUGGAGAGUUGACAUCUGGAGCCUCCGCUGACAAGCAGCAUGGUCCGCUGGCAGGUGAAUAGGGGCCAUGGUUCUGCGGGCUCUCUCCAGGGGUGGCUGAGGCUGGCACUCCACAGUGCUGUCAAGCACAUGGGUCACAGCUGCAAGAAUGCUGGGGUAUGCUGACUAGGCAGGUGUGCGGAGGUCACGAUGCAGCUCCAUCUUCAAAACAGGAAGCAUUUCUCGGAGCUGUAGUCUCACAGACUCAAGAGAGAUUUGAGAGGAGACUGUCAGAGAGACACAGAGGCCUGGGUGUGUGUGGAUGAGGUGAUUUCUAACUGGUUGAUAAUAAGGUAGUAAGCUUUAUGUUUCUAUCAUAUUUAUUUCCCGCCUCAGAUCAGGUUGUCUGAGCCAGAACCACAUAUCCCAGAGCAGGCAUGUUAGUGAUCUGGGAUAGAGAGAAGGACGUUCUAAACAAUGUCUGGAAACAUAAGGGGCUGAGAUGCAUUUAGCCAUUUGAAAAGAUAAUGGAAAUUUCUUUCAACUAAUUCCUUUGUGGUUUAACUGUAUAGUAUUGCCUUUUUCAUCCUUUCACAAAACAGACCCUGGAAGGACUCAAAUUGGUAAGUGAGAAGCCAGUUACUACCAACUACUGGGCAGCUUCUUGGCAGGAGGUGAGAGCUUUCUGCUUCCUUUUUAGGACAAUUCCACCCUUCCUUGAGUGGGAGGAGUUGGUGAGGUGGCUGAAUGUCAUGAGGGUUUGGAGAGGAGGUGGCUGUAAUCGCACAGGCACUGGCAUUGAAGAGACCCAGGGAAGGGAAGUACCUCUGGCUCCAUGGCAGGAUCUGGAGGGAGGAAGGGAAGAUUCAUAGCAUAACAGGUCUAGGGUACCGCACUUGAAAAGACUAUGGUAUUUAUUGGUUCAUUGAACUCAACUAAACCCAAAAUACUGGGUACCUCAUGUGUGCAGUGCUUAGUGCCAGGAAUGAUGGGCUGUGUAAGGAAGAAUCCAGUAAACUCCCUCAACUAACUUAGAGUAUUUAUUUCCUAACUAAAAGAAACAUAACUAAGAGUCAACAAUAUUGUUUGUUUUGCUUUUUAUGUAGUGUCAGGCACAGAAAUAUGCUCAGUAAACACUUGCUGGUUAAUGGCCACUGCAGGUCCCUGAAUUUGCAUUGAGUUGAAAGAAAUGCCACCAACCUGCCCCUCCACUGCCAGGAGUUCAAGUCAGGAGAGCAGCCAGCCUGACUAUAGAAGAACUACACAGUGCCUAAAGUUCCAGGAAACCUUCCAGUUGCAAGGAGAGAGAGCAGUGCUAUUUUAAUAAAUAGUACAUGAUAGUUUUGCUGUAUACCAGGCCUACACAGUGCUAGACACUGAAGGCAAAGACAGACAAACAGACAAAAUAAUUAAAAUGUGGUUAAGAUCAUAUCCAAAUGUAAAUUAGGUCCACCACUGUGGAAAACAGUGUGGCAGUUCCUCAAAGACCUAAAAACAGAACUAACAUUUGACGCAGCAAUCCCAUUACUGGGUAUACACCCAAAGGAAUAUAAAUUGUUCUAUUAUAAAGACACAUGCACAUGUGUAUUCAUUGCUAUUCAAAAUAGCAAAGACAUGGAAUCAACCUAAAGGAUCAUCAAUGGUAGACGAGAUAAAGAAAAUGUGGUACAUAUGCACCAUGGAAUACUAUGCAACCAUACAAAAGAAUGCGAUCAUGUCCUUUGCAGAAACAUGGAUAGAGCUGGAGGACAUUAUCCUUAGCAAACUAACACAGGAAGAGAAAACCGAAUAUUGAAUGUUCUCACGUACAAGUGGGAGCUAAAUGUUGCAAACACAGGGACACAUACUGGGGCCUAUCGGAGGGUGGAGGGUGGGAAGAGGGAGAAGAUCAGGAAAAAUAACUAAUGGGUACUAGGCUUAAUACCUGGGUGACAAUAUAAUCUGAAUACCAAACCCCCAUGACACAAGUUUCCCUAUAUGACAAACUUGCAUAUGUACCCCUGAACUUAGAAUAAAAAUUAAAAAAUAAAAAUAAAGAUUAAAUUUGGCUGGGCACAGUGGCUCACGCCUGUAAUCCCAGCACUUUGGGGGGCCAAGGUGGGCAGAUCAUGAGGUCAGGAGUUCGAGACCAGCCUGGCCAAUAUGGAGAAACCCCAUCGCUACUAAAAAUACGAAAAUUAGCCAGGUGUGGUGGUGCAUGCCUAAAGUCCCAGCUGCUCAGGAGGCUGAGGCAGGAGAAUCGCUUGAACCCAGGAGGUGGAGGCUGCAAUGAGCCGAGAUCACGCCACUGCACUCCAGCCUGGGCAACACAGCAAGACACCGUCUCAAGAAAAAAAAAAAAGAUUAUAUUCUUUGUUGAAUAUAACAAAGUGAAUAUAAACAAAAUGAAAAUUUGGGGGAAAAGUAAAAUAUCAUUUGGCAUUAAAGAUAACCCCUUAAGAAAAUCACUAUCAGUACCAAACAUGGAGCCAUCCAGCCAAACCCAUAGAAUUCUAGAACAUCAGAGCUGGAUAAGCCCUUAGAACAAUCUGUCCAAAUCUGUUAUUUUGCAGAGGGGGAAGUAGAGACCCAGCCAUGCAAAGGUAUUAGCAACAGUUAGUUUACAUUUCUUUCUGGCUGCAUUUACAGUGGGUAAAUACAUCUUAACUUUAGUGGGUUGAAAAAGACAGGUGCUAUUUCCUCAAAAAAUAUUUUGGCUGCUGGUGAUCGACUCUUAGAGCAAGAGAAACACUUUCUAACAUUGAUGUGGGAUUUUGUGUGUGGUGUGUGGGUUUCCUGAGCUGCCGAGCUUUUCCACAGUCUCCUGCUCUAUUACUUCGUAGCCCACUUUCCUUUAAUACCCACCGUCAGAGAGGUUCUCUUUACCAUUCCUCUGCUCAGCUCCUUCAGAAGUCUGUGUACACUGACAAUAAAUGGCCCAAGUCAAGAGCUCCCAAAUCCUGCCCUGCUAGUCAUUUGGCCUCCUGAUGUCAAACCAGAGGUCCUGAGAUUCGGAGAGUGAAGCGGAGUGGCUGCCGGCACCACCUUCUCACCUGCAGGAGCACCCAGAGUCUUGUCCGGAGUUGGGCUUAUUGGAGGAGCUGGUGAAGGAGAAGAGGCUGAGUUGGCUUAAGCACCCCUUCUGCCUCCCUCUAACCCCACACCUUCAGAUCCCUUUAGCUGCUUGCACAGCUCAUGACCUAUGAACGGGAGUGGGGAAGAAGUAGGCAGAAUGGAGUCUGACAUGAGAAAAGUGUCAAUAACAUCCCAUUUCUUGUGUUGAUUCUUGAUUUCUGUUCAUAUUCAAACAUUAUUUUGUUGUAUAUUUUCUUUCGUAGGCCUCCUUAAAAUUCUCGUAGAAUGAGGCAAGAUGUAAACACUUAUAUAGAAGUUAACAGCAGUGUAUUAAUGAUAUAUGCAGGCAAGCAUAGGCGCUUAUGCCCAGAGUGCACAAGUAUACAGAGGACAUUCAGUGGCCAAAGUUGGCUAGAGUUGCUUUGGUCCUUGAUCAAGUCCUGUUUACAUUUCUCCACCCAAAUAAGUUACAUCAAUACUGACUAGAUAAUACGUAUUCAACAGGCAGUACACCCCCUGAUCAUUGUGGAUAUCACAAUUCAGGAAAUCAUUUACUUACUAAACAUUUUUACUUACUAAACAUUUACUUACUAAACUUUUGUGUCCCCUACUAAACUUUUAGCUUCUAGGGAGUAGAAACCAUGUCCUGUUGUUCUUUAUGCUUAUAGUACUUGGCCCACGACUGAUGCACAAUGGAUCACGAGGGGUGACUAGAUAAAUGAGAAUUUUUUAAUGGCAAGAUGAUUCAGAGUAAAUGAAAUGUAGAAUAUCAUAAUAUUUUAUAAGGAAUGGCAUUUUGGGCAAGUUAUUACUUGUACGUACUUUUAGAAACAGUCUCUUCCUCUAACCAAAUGCUUCUGAGUAGGAUCCUGCUUUAAUGGAUAGAAAAACAUGAGUUCUCAUUAGUAUGCACAGCACUGAAGCCCAGUUACAUUUUUUUUUUUAAAUAAGCACACUUUUUAAGUGUUGCCAUGCAGUGUCGUCGCUCCAAAAGCUUAUCACAUUGUUCAUUUUCUUAGCAGGCCCAGUUCUACUGAUGGUGUAAAGUUUCAACCGGGGCUCUUCAUAAUUAUUACUAAUUCUUAAGACUGAAAUCAGGUGGCUUUUUAUUUUUAGUGUCCUUUUUGUGCUCACUCAAGACUAUAUAUUCAGCAGUGUGCAGUCUAUGCCUGACUGUAUAAAAGACUGGAAUGUUCACACACUAUAAUGAAUAAUGAGUGUCAGUGAACUCAUUACAGUAAAUCCUUAGGUAAUUACUUUCUGCCUUAGUUGGGGGACUUAUGGUAGCAUAAGCUAAAAUUAUUUCAUCUCCAGACAAACCCUGAGGUGGCUGUUGGAGUUAAAUAUAAUUCAUUUGCAGCAUGUUUAUUAUAGUUAAAUUUAACUAAUUUAGGGCCUGUUGCUGGCCAGAAGCUGAGGAGGAGGAAGUUGCAGUGUCCAUGAGUACCUCAGAAAAAUGAGGCUUCAUGGCCGAGCUUUCAGAGCAUGACGUAAGAGUUACUCCCACUCUGUCUCUGCUCUUCCUGUCCCCAGAGCUGGAUGGGUUUGUUCAUGAAAGUGAUUGGCUAAUGAGCUCUUCAGGCAUAGGAUUAAUGUGGUGUAGCAAGAGGAAGUCUCAGCGUUGAGCUGGGGCUCUGCUCAGUUCUCUCCUCUGUUUCUGCCGGAACUUCCUGGUGUUACAGAAAGAACUAUGGUGUUCAAGGUCUCUGUUGUAUGAAUGGAUUUAUCAGCAGAUGGUGAGGCUCCCCCUUCUCGUGCCCCAUUUCCACUCAACACUGUCUGGCCAGUCUGGGCGUUAUUUCUUCCUAAGCCUUCCAGCCUGGAAGACUUAGCUCUGGAAAAAAUAGGAAAGGACUUACUCCAAGAACCAAGCACAUGUUUACAGAGGAUGGUUUAACCUUUAAAGAUGUUGCCACUGAAGAGUUUUUAGAUUAGAUUUUGCCUCAUGAGCGCUCUUCUGAGCUGGAUGGCUUGCUCUACCAAAGAUGUUACAGGGACACCCGCAGGAGAAAUCGCAUCAACGCAGGGAGGUGAGGCUUCUGAGCCAUCGCUUGUGUCUAAGAACAUAAGCCAAAAAUCACUGUAGGGGGACUGUUCCCCAGAAGACAGGGACCUUGCCAGGAGAGGAAACACAAUUCCGAUCAUCGUGAGGAACGUGCAUUUGAGGAAGACAUUGUCCUACUUUUCCACAAAAAUACCAUGUCUCCAUUCUGGAAAUAUGUGCACUGUGCUAAUUGCUCAAGAGAAGGUAGCAGUUGGAAAAAGUCCAGAGAAGGAUGAGUAGAUGAACACAGGAAUCAGUCGGUAGCCGUGGGAACAGCAAAGCCCCUUCAGUGGGAAGGCAAGAGUAAAGAGAAGACAGCACUGAAGUCUGUGGAAUCUAAAGCGGCUUUGGUGGGGUUUCCUCACCGACUCAAAGUGCAGAGCUAGCAGGGUAGGCACACCCACCCGUGCCUGUGGUGGCCCGCCCUAAGACUCUAUCCAGGACAGCCACCUCAGCCUCACUAUCCCCUGGCCACGUCCUGGCCGUUCAGUCCCACCGUGACGCAGCUUACAAGCUACAGAACCGUCUGCCUCUUAAGCCAGUGUUCCUCCCACUGUACCACAGUUGCUUCCGUUGGGUCCAGACUCUUCUGAAAACUCCCCUUUUCAAUUUUACUCAAACAAAUUUUGGCCAUGGAAAUGGUUUGUGACUUUAACGGGCAAGCUGUGAUAUAAAAAGUAAACCAUGGGUUACAUAACUUCAGGGGCAGGUUAACUUUUCCAGAAUUCUGGUCUCAAAGUAAAGAUUUAGUUGAGGCUAUAAAAAUUCAGGAAAAAAUAAUAAAGCAUUUCUACACCUCCCUCCUUCCCCUUGCGAGCCCCCCUUAAAAAUAGCAUCUGAAGUUUCAUUGUAGCUGAGUCACUGCUUGGUGUGAUCUAGGGCUAGGCUGCAACUGGACCUGUCAGAAUGAGGCCACAGUGAUUCAUGAUGAAGCUAAGUUUGGUUGCCACUGACAACAUGUGUUCCUCUCUGUUCUUUCCCUGGAGUUUGGAGACACUGUAUUUUGCCUUUGGAUUAGAAACACCUUUGAGUAGUGAGAGUAAUGGGAUGAGAUGGGCCACUGCAAUUAAAGAGCCCUCUGGGCCCUCUUUCUGUGACACCCUAGCCAUUUGUUAGGGGAAGGUAGGAGUAAUUAACAUAACCAAAGACCUUUGGGGCUGUGAAGGGAAUUUAUCUCCUCUGCCUUUGCAGUUUAGCAUCAAGUCAGUCUACCAACCAAGAGCCCCCCAACACCUUUUCUGGGCCCCAAACUGUGCUUCCCAUUGAGGAAAGGCAAAUGAUAGAAUAUGCGGUCCCUACCCUGAAGGAAUUUGGGGAAGCACAAACCAAUUAGAGAAGCAUUUUCUACUUCCCACGUUGAUUAUAGUCAUGUAUGUGUCAGUUUCCACGCCAGUUUGCGCCUGGAGGGCAGAAGCCACAGCUGGUUUUGCUGUGCAUGGCACCUGUGUUCCUGGAGCUGAAGUGAAUGGGUCCUGCCUCCAGCACCUGCUUCCCCACUUCUGCCAUCAGAAAGACUCGUUCGGGAAAACAUUCCUUCAUUCCCUUCCUAGGGCACCACAGUUAAUAAGGCCACAAAUUUGGGCCUGUCCAUCCUGGUGCAAGUAUCUGAGGAAGCAAGAAGAGAUCCGGGUUAGCAAGGAUACGAUUACAAUGGUUUUAUUUUUUUAAUGGGACUUGGGUGGUGAGGAAAUUCUAUGCUCCCCGUCAUUUAUGCAGACUUCAGCUAAACGUAUGCUAGUUGAACUCAUGCCAGCUCUGUGGAAGUGAGGGACAGAUACAAGAAACAUGGGAACUUUCCAAGAAAUGAAGCUUCUUUGCUGCCAUGUCGAUGAUGCUUGUUUCUGAGAAACUCAAACGUAUGGAAGUGUAGAGUAGAGCUUCCCAAACAGGGUGCCGUAGUUCACAGAUUUGCACACAGGGGUGCCAGCAUAAUGAUCUCUGCAGCUCUUGGCACACCUUGGUAUGUCUGGAGUAUGAGAUGGACUUAACAUAUGAAUAUACAUAUAAAUAUAUAUAAUGUAUCUGUACAUCUUAGGGACUAGACAAACAAGGUGUUAAAUGUGUUCCUCUCUGGAUGGUAGGUUUAUGGAAUCCUUUAAUCAUUUUACUUAUUUGCUUAUUUAAACUUCUGAAUCUGUAACAAUUUAUUGUGUGUGUGGAAGAAUUCUUUCAGCCCAACCAAACACUAGCCAAAAUAUUGAAGUGGAAGGUAUCAGUGUUCGGUGAUCCAGCCAAAGGUUUAUGUAUAUGUUUUAUUCAAACACUGUCUUAGAAACCGUUUGCCCUGAGGAUGUGUCCUUUAUUUUGUCAGUUUAAAAAGGAUUCUUUUCAGUUAAUGCAUUCUCAUUUAAAAAAAAAAAAAAGGAAAGAAAAAGAAACAGUAAAGCAGAUGUCACAUAUCAGAGAAAUUGCCACAUCUUGAUAGAUUCACACCAUUUAUUUUCUUUGCCUGUAAGCCUAAUACUGGCAACAGCCCAAACUGCCAACUUUCUUCAUUUAUUGACGUUCUUAUAAAGUUAACUUCCUGUCGAGGAUGUUUUUGACAGGGAUAUUAAGAGAAAGACUUGUUGGUCAGAUGUUGGUUCCAGUUGGCCACACUGUAAAGGCCACUGGGAAUCGGACCCUUGGCAGACCCAUGCAGAGGUAAUAGUUUGGAAGUUGGGAAUUCUUAUUUCCCGGCAACUGUAGACAAGGAGCAAUGAUUUGCUAUUUGUAUUUUAUAUCAUAUUACAUUUGCAAAAUGUUUGUGGUCAUUCAAAUUUGUUUUUUUUCACAGUACUUCUGUGAAUGCCUGAUUUCUCUUUGCCUAGGCUCUCAGAUUCUUGAGGGGGUGGAUGGAGGUGUGAUAUUUGCCUUCUUCUCACAUAGGAAUGCCUAUAACCUAAAUGAGAUCAAUAUCAUUUCGUUCUGGGAGCAGUACUAUUUUUGCCAGUUACCAACAUUAUAAAAUACUUCCAUAUUUGGAACUGUGGCAUUUUGUACUUGGAGGGAUUUUUUAAAGAAAUUGCCUGGUCUAGUUCCUUCAUUAUACAAAUGAAACCAUUGAGACCGACACAGGCAAAGGGAAGUUCUCAGAGUCACAAGAAGUGGUCAGUGGCCAGGCUGAGGCCAGACUGUAGUUUCCUUUUUACUACUGGUCAUACUCUCUGCUUUCUACCAAUAUUUCCCAAUUACUAUGGGGAAUUAAUAAAAAAUAUUUUUUAAUCUGCAUUUUUUGGGGGAAAGAUAAAAAUACAGAGUUUGUCACAACAUAGGUGGUCAAUAAAUAUUUGGUGAAGAAGGUGUUUGAUAAAGUUGCAUAUAUUUACCUCUUGAGUCAAUAAAAAUGCGUUAUAUUUGCAGAUAGACACACACACACACACACAGUGCUAUGUAGUAGCUGGUAAGCACAUGUGUGCUGUCAGUUAAUACAGGGACUUGAUUGUCAUGUAUCCCAGUCUAUGUGGCUCUGUUCAAAGGAAGAAGCUCUGGGGAGGAGUAACAGAGAAUUUUAGGAGACAGAGAAAAUAGACUUCUUUUCAAUGGAAACUUAUCAGAAUUGUUGAAGUGAGAAAGCCAUACACAUCUCUGUGUAUUUUGGUAUCAGUGUAGUAUUGUCUGCAGUAACUCUUUGUUUAGUCAUGAAAUAUGUUACUUGCCAUUCCACAUGUACCCAAUACAGUGUUAAAAAGAGUCCUGUUCAGCUAGGAUAAAUCACAGAACAAGUAUAGUAAGAACAUCACCAAGUAAUUAUACAGUAUGUCUUUGAGAUUUGUGUCUCCAAGUUUCUGAAUAUUUCAUUUUGAAAGAGUAACUUAGAAAACAUAAAGAGAAAUUCCACAUAAGUGCCUGGGAGAGCUGAUCUUUACCAAAUUCAGUAAAAAUUUCAGAGAUGAAUAAAAUAAACCUGGACAAUUCAUAAUAACCUACAAAAGACACAUUGUUUUCAUUGUUUUCCAUUGGCUAACAUAUCCGGUAGGAAGUUAAAUUUCACUGUCUUUUGCAUAGCACAGAAUUUGUUUUCCUAAUCACCUUUCCUACAUAUUGAACAACGUCUCGGUCAUAAUCAUGGCAUAUGCUGCAUUGAACCCAAGGUGAAAAUCAUUCUUUUUUUUCUCACCUGAGGGAAAUUUCACUUUUUUUACUGAAUGAAGGAAGCACUUAAAGUAUAAAUUAAAAUAAAGAUAACUACUAUUAAAUUUGGUUAGGCUCAUAUAAAAAAAAUAGUAAAAUGGCAGUCAAAACAACCUGACUCAAGUUGGUGACAGAAAGGCUUAAUUUAGCACAGCCCAUUUAUGUACGCAAGAAGCUUUUCUUAAGGACACUCAAAGAUGUCAGCUCCAGUCCUAAAGGAAACACACUUGAACUGAGCGUGAGAUGAAUGAAGGGAUUCUGCUCUUGUCUUUUAUAGAUGAUUUCAUUUAUUUGAUUCUUCUCUUUCCUCCUACAUUCUCAGAUUAGGCAUGGCCUUCAAUUGGAUUUUGUAUUCGUUAAAUACAAACAGUACACAUAUUAGACUGGAUACACAUUUGCAAAUUCAGAUUUAUAUAAUCUUCUAUUUUAAAAUUAUGAGACUACCGAUAUAUUUUAUUGCACAUGCCUGUGGUGUCCGAGUCUGGGAUCUGCUUUAAUUCUCAAUAACAUUCAAAUAAAACCAUUGCAAAGAGCAGAGCUAGCAAUAAGGACAUUUAUAAUGUCACAUGAAGGUGGACUGUAUGCCACAUGCCUUAUAAUCAUAUAUUCAAUGAUUGCAAAUAGGAUUUUUAUAGAAAGUGCUCACAGCAGUUAAAAGAAUUCUAUUUGAAGUCGUAUUUCUGAAUGUGAGACUUUCAUUUUGUUUAAUUAUCUAUUAAAUGCUCCCAAACUUACUAGGACUUAGUGUGUGCUUUUAUUCUAUGUUAGAGAAAAUCUUGGUAGUCAAUCUCAAGUGUAUGCCCCAUCUUAUGACUGCGAGAUUCCCUCUCUCAUUCUGGUAUUGUCCCAUGAUAUUUGCUGCUUUCUGCAGUCAAUAUAGACAGACUUGAGCCAACUUAAAUGUUGUCUCAAUAUUUACCUAGUACAAAGAAAAUUCCAUUUGAGAAAACCACAGAGUAUAGUCAUUCCUGGAACAACCAGGAGAUGGUUAUUAUCAUUGGAAACAAUUAUUUUUAAAAAUCAAUCUCAAUUCAGAGCCAUAUGUAUAUUUAAAGUGCCCACACAUCUAAAACUGUUCUCAAUUAAUUUCAUGAAAUGUUAUUUUUAAAUUUAAAACAAACCAAAGAUGAUUAAUUUUUAUAUAACCAAAGAUGAUUAACUUUCAUAUAAAUUUGUGAAUCAUAACAAAUUCUUGAGCAAACCGUGUGUCUUGCUUUCUUUUUAUAUUGGCAUGGUAUAAAUACUGAGAAUCAAAGCAACCAUAAUUAAAAAGGCCUGGUCUGAAGAGGAACCGUAAAGUAGGUAAGGUUUGUGUUCUGCUUUCUUCUAUCUCCUCCUAGCUCCCAUUCAAGUUAUUUCUUCCGGCUUUCCUCUCUGGCAAGGUACAAAUGCUCCUGCCUCUGCCUCGCCCCUUCACACUGUAAUAUUGGUUAAAGAACUUGGCAAUGAACCAGCAUAAUCAAAUUCCUCUGGCUAGACUGCUCUGGCAGUAGAGCAUUUAAGUGUUCUGCUCCAAAUACUUUCCAACAAUCAGAACCAAGACACCUGUGUGGGAGCCAGUGCCACAGGUAAGUCCCUGUUAGUGACAGUGGCCUUGCAGUGAUGCUUUGGGAAAUUAUCCUGGCUUCAAUGGGUAGGACAGAGAGGAGUGGCUACCCAGCCCAUGCAAAGCCAAGCAAGGGGCUGUAGUCAAAAAGUCAAAGGCAAGAGUCAUUGUUCUUCCCUGUGAGCUUGUAUAACAGAGUGUGUGUUCAUUUCUCACACAUAUAGUUUUAUCUCGCAGCUACUUGAAGUGUUCACAUGUCUGUUUGCUGACUUGAUUGUGAAAUUCCUGAGGGUAGGAAUUAGGUCUCACGCCCAGCACCAAGGAGGAGUGCAGUAAAUGGGUGAGGAAUGAAUGAGUGAAUGAAUCAGUCUGUCAGGCAGUCUGUUAAUGCAGAUGGCAACAAUGAAAGUAUGGAUUCGAAUGGCAUCUUUGAAAAUUGCAAGAAAUGGAUGGAUGUGGAAAACUGAGAGAGAAAACUAAGAGAAAAGCAAGAGAGAUCAAGGCAUCAAAGCCUCCGAGGCUUUGAGCUGAGCAAAACGAAGAGCCUGGGAGGCAGUCGUAGAAAGGGGGAACUCAGAAACCUCAUAAGGGAAGCCAACACAUAAACAGUUUGUCACAAUCUCUUUCUCAAAGAAGCAUCCUCUAGAAGGUGCCUGUGUUUCUAGCCUCUCUCGUCCCCUCCCCUUACCACACCUCACCCAAGUUCUUGGAGGUCUGAUAAGCAGACAAGACUAUUUUGUAGACUUAGCAGAUGUCCAUGUUUUAAGGGACAUUUCCAUCAAUGCUUGAAGGUUGCCCUCCUUUGUAGACUUGGGAGGAAAGGUGGAUGGGAGGGGGAUAGGAAAUCUGAGCUGGUGCCUUGAGGAGACGCUUUGGCCUCCUGGAAGAGGGUACUUGUCAGCUGGGAUUAGCCCCUCAGGCCAUGGCUUCUUUCAGAGGCACUAAGUUUACAUCAGAGAGGACAUACUUUUAUAGUCUGCAUUGUCAGUGCUGCGCCCUCAACCACUACUGCAGAUAGCCUCUUACUUUCUAAGUAAAUAGUCUCUCAGGGAAGAGAUUCACCUCAUUUCACACAUAGCCAUCCUUUGUAAUACGAGGGCUGCUUGCACUCUCAUUGGCCUCUGGAGCUUCAAACAUGUCUCAUUCCCACAUCCUUCAGAAGUGCCAAAGAGGGACCUACCUGGCUAAGUGGUAUGGAAGCUAGGAGGGAAACACCCUGGUACGUGCUCUUUAAAGUCUGUGAGUUACAGAGGGAAUAUGAUAAAUAAUUCAUUUUCUAUUUUAAGCCCCUCUUUCUCCAAAGUUUUGGAAUGAGCUCUGUAAAUUCCUCAAGAACUUCUCUGAAAGUUCUACCAGCUGACCGAAUGCGGAAAUACCUGCUGUGUGCUUCCUGGAGAUUUUCCCCACUGUCUGUUUUAUGACCUGGUGAAUUAGGCUGCAGUCUUGUCUUGAUCCAGAAGUGGUGCCCCUUGGAUCAGAAGGAAUGUCUGAAACACAUUGAUUUGUGGCUGGAAUAGUAAGCUAAGCUCUAGGAACAUCCUGCCAGAGGCUUGUCCUUAGGAAAUAGUCUCACAAAUUUUUUUGCUGGUGAAGAGAUGACAUGCUGCAAUUGACCUGUUGAAGGCCAGAAAAGCGAGGUGACAAAGCAAACCUCUCAGUUUCUAAUGCUUCCUUCAGGCUAUGCUUUCUAGGGGUGAUACCCUCUAUAUCCUGAGAGACCUUAGCUGCACAAGACAUUAAAACUUGGUCCUCAAAAUGAGUGAUACCAGCCUCUGGAACAUAAUUGCGACCAAAAUGUGUCCUGGGGUCACCAGCCUCCUUCUACCGUUCCCUCUAAAAUCCAAAUAAAAACAUUAAGCCCUACUGCACUGGCCUGCCCUGUUGAGUGCUUUUGCAGAUUGCCUGGGGGUAUUUAUGUCCUCCUGCCUCCUCCAGCUCUAAAUUCUGGCUUCAAGACCCUCCUGCAUCACCCCUCUGUCAACACUCCCUGGGUUGUUAACAUGUCCACAAUACUGAUCGCCUUACCUCCCUCUUUUCCCAGGGUCUCCUAAACAGUACAAUGCCUUUCAAAAGAAAUAAUGGAGAGGAAACUGUUAAAAUUGAAUUUCCACGUUGCAGUUUUGACAGUUUAUCAGUGAUUCAUCACCAUAAUCUCUUACUCUCCAUCCUUGCCCUGUGAAUAGAUUCACACCUGGAAGCAGCUGUCUCUUUAGAAAAGCUUCUAUCCUUUCCUGAUUUUUCCUGAGUGCCUGGUCCUCCCAAAACUCCUAUCUUUUUUGUCCUGACUCAGAGGAACCCUCACUUCCCCCACCCCCACCCCCCAACGCACACAUUUCCUUCAUAACAACACCCUAGAGUGAGAUCCUUUUACUUACCGUUUUACUUCCUAGUUCCUGAGGGCGUUACUUUUCAUAAUAAGAAAAUUCAUCAAAGUGUUUUCCUAAAGAGUUGUUCUCCCUCUAAAGUUGAAUUUCAUCCUCCAACCCAAUAUGGAAACAGCUAUAGCCAGGUAUAUGUCCACAGCAAUCUUUCCUUCUUGCUACAUAAUCACAGUUAUUUUAAUGAUUAUUUGAUUUUCUACAGAAUGUAGCGUAGCUCUGAUGCUGUUAGGGUCUUGAUGAAGGCAUUAGAAACAAUGCUUAUGCUCAGAGCACUUGUGUGUGCUUGGAUGUUGUGUGAAUGUGAGCAAAGUUGUACUUCAGUGAAGGUGCCCAACCAACACUGAGACACAUAACCAGGAAAACAAGGCUGCAGCUGAUGGUCAGAGUAGCCACGGGUUAGGCAUGAGUAGCCAUGGGUUACGCAUAAGCAUCCACACCACCAGCUUGGGCAGCUGUCACCUGCCAUUGUUUAUCCACAGGGCCAGCUAGAAAAGGAUCUGGUAGGCAUCUCUAUCAACAACACAGGUGAACAUAGGGAAAACGCUAAAUGAGAAUUAUGAUCAACUAGAAAUAAAAGGAAAAUCAGUCCUCCCUGUAUUUCCCAUACAGCUGCCCCAUCUGUCCUGCCAUCAGCACCACAUGAGGCGUAUAUGGAAGAUGGUUUAUUGUUACCUUUUUAUUAGGCUGCUUCUAGAAAAUUCAGCAAGUACCCACAGUCCUACCACCUAAUCCAUAACCCCUGGUCAACAUUUUGGUGUAUUUCCUUCUAAUUUUGUUUUCAUGCACCUCUUGUUUGUUCUGCAAAAAGUACAGACGUUGUCUUUUUUUUUUUUGCUUCUACAAAGUACUGUUAUAGUAGCUCCAACAACCAGUGAAAACAAAAUUUGUUCUAAUAGAAAAAUGAGCAGCAGCUCAAUAAAAACAGUUCACUAAACAGUUUAUCUACACUUACAGCCAGAAAACAAAAUGUAAAAGUUUUACCUCACCAGUAAUCAAAGAAAUGUAAUUUAAAAUAAUGAUUCCAUUUUUCAUCUACAGUUAAAAAUAUAAAAACAAUAAUAUCUGCUUCCAAUGAGGAAGUAGUGACAUAAUCACUCUCAUAGAAAGCUGCGUUGAGUGUAAAUCUCCAAGUUUGUGUUUUGUCAACACGAAUCAGCCUGGAAGUGCCCAUACCCUUGAUCUGGUAAUUCUGCUUUUUAACAAUCUGUGCUAAGAGAUUUAUCUGAGAAAGGUUCAAAGAUGUCUGCAUUAUUCUUUAUUAGACUGAAAAUUUGGAAGCAACCUGAAUGUUACCUAUUGAGAAACAAAUACAUUAUAGUUUAUUCAUCUGGACAAGGAACUAUUUUGCAGGUAUUUAAAACAUUUUAAAGAAUAGUUGUGCACCUUUGAAAAAAAAAGUUCACAAUAUAACAAUGGGCUUAAAGGGUAAAGGGAAGAAUAUGUGACCUAGUUCACAUUUUAUAAAUAUUCAUGUUAUGUCCAUGAGGGAGAGCGGGACAGCAGAUCCAGUUUUCACAAUGGUUAUCCGUGGCUCACAGGACUACAGGUGAUUUUUACUUUCUUUAUGCCUUCCCGUAGUUCCCAAAGUAUUUUCAAUGAGUAUUUCAUUUGUGUACAGGGGGAAAAAGUUACUUAAAAAAUGGAAAAAGAAGAAAAUCACUCCUUUGCAGCAGCUUAUGAAGCAUUUUAACAACGAAAGGUGGGAAAAUCCCCAAGAUAGACAAGCCCUUUCUUCCCCUUCUGACUUUGGCUGAUCCAUCUGCUGACAAACUGCUGACUGUAUUCUCAAGAGAUCGAAGAAAUAAAACAGGCUCUAGCAAGGGCCUUUGUUGAAGUCUUCUCAGCUUCCUUAGAAGCUGUUGCUUCUCCCCCUCCCUUCCUUCUCUGGCUGCCUCCCUCUUUUGGUGCUUUUCCUGAGGCUGGUGGCUACAUUUGUUCGGUGCUUGAAGUCAUUCUUUCAUCAAUAAUUUGUAAAGUGAUUUAGAGCUUUCUAACAGCAACCUACAGUUUGCUCUAAUAAACUAACGUGGUAAAGAGUCGGAAUUCAGGCUGCUGGGUGACAGACCAGCGUGCCAUUUUACUCUACCCUGGUCAGCAUGUGGUUUUGGUUCUGCUAAAAGGACACUUCCGACUCUACCUCCAUUUGUUUAGCAUUUCUACUCUCAGUGAACUUUUAGUAACUGAAUGCCCAAAGGAGGAGACUACAAAAAGCAAAUUAUAGUACAUCACCUUGAUGGAAUAUUACCUAGCUGUUAAAAAUGACAAUAACUAGGUUGCACCAUCAAAAGUAUUACCAAAGAAAAA